rnacentral:rRNA from 1 species
CUGGUAGUCCACGCCGUAAACGAUGUCGACUUGGAGGUUGUUCCCUUGAGGAGUGGCUUCCGGAGCUAACGCGUUAAGUCGACCGCCUGGGGAGUACGGCCGCAAGGUUAAAACUCAAAUGAAUUGACGGGGGCCCGCACAAGCGGUGGAGCAUGUGGUUUAAUUCGAUGCAACGCGAAGAACCUUACCUACUCUUGACAUCCACGGAAUUUGGCAGAGAUGCMUURGUGCCUUCGGGAACCGUGAGACAGGUGCUGCAUGGCUGUCGUCAGCUCGUGUUGUGAAAUGUUGGGUUAAGUCCCGCAACGAGCGCAACCCUUAUCCUUUGUUGCCAGCGAUUCGGUCGGGAACUCAAAGGAGACUGCCGGUGAUAAACCGGAGGAAGGUGGGGAUGACGUCAAGUCAUCAUGGCCCUUACGAGUAGGGCUACACACGUGCUACAAUGGCGCAUACAAAGAGAAGCGACCUCGCGAGAGCAAGCGGACCUCACAAAGUGCGUCGUAGUCCGGAUCGGAGUCUGCAACUCGACUCCGUGAAGUCGGAAUCGCUAGUAAUCGUGGAUCAGAAUGCCACGGUGAAUACGUUCCCGGGCCUUGUACACACCGCCCGUCACACCAUGGGAGUGGGUUGCAAAAGAAGUAGGUAGCUUAACCUUCGGGAGGGCGCUUACCACUUUGUGAUUCAUGACUGGGGUGAAGU